CUCACCCCCUGUUCAUGCCAGCAGACAGAAAAGGAGCAUGAGGAGGGAGAAACAGAGCCACAUGUACAAGUUCCUCCUCCUUGGGAUCCCCAUCCAGCCAGAGCAGCAGGGCGUAUCCUUUGCCCUGUUGCUGGGCAUGUACCUGACCAUGGUACUGGGCAGCCUGCUAUUCUUCCUGCUCAUCAGGCUGGAUCCUCACCUCCAGACCACCAUGUACUUCUUCCUCAGCCAUCUGGCUUCCUCUGACAUCACCGUCUCACCUGUCACUGUUCCAGAAAUGCUUAUGAACAUGUAGACUGAGGAUCAAUGCAUCCCCUUUGAAGGAUGCAUAGCACAGAUGUAUUUCUUCAUAUUUAUUUCUUUUCUGGACAAUUUCCUUCUCACCUCAAUGGCCUAUGGCAGGUACAUGGUGAACUGCCACCCUCUCCAGUACACCACUAUCAUGAGAGAGGGACUGCGUACCUUACUGGUAACUGUAUCUUGGAUUCUCUCCAGUGCCAAAGCUCUGUGUCACACACUCCUCCUGACACAGCUCAUGAAGAGGGAGAACCAGAGCACCGUGUCUGAGUUCCUUCUCAUGGGGCUUCCCAUCUGGCCAGAGCACCAGGGAAUUUUCUUUACCCUGUUUCUGGGCAUGUACCUGACCACAGUGCUGGGGAACUUGCUCAUCAUCCUGCUCAUCAGGCUGGACCCUCAUCUCCACACCCCCAUGUACUUCUUCCUCAGUCACCUGGCCUACUCUGACCUUUCAUUUUCCUCUGUCACUGUCCCAAAGAUGCUAAUGAACAUGCAGACUCAAGUUCAAUCCAUCUCCUAUGCAGGGUGCAUAGCACAGAUGUAUUUUUUCAUAUUUUUUACUGUUCUGGAUGAUUUUCUUCUUGCCUCAAUGGCCUAUGACAGGUACGUGGCCAUCUGCCACCCUCUCCACUACACCACCAUCAUGAGAGAGGGACUGUGUACCUUACUAGUAAUUGUGUCUUGGAUUCUUUCCAGUGCUGAUGCCCUGUGUUACACCCUCCUCCUGACACAGCUGUCCUUUUGUGCUGACAACACCAUCCCCCAUUUCUUCUGUGACCCUGGUACCUUGCUGAAACUCUCCUGCUCAGACACAUCCCUCAAUGAGCUGGUCAUUUUCACAGUAGGACUGGCAGUCAUCACCCUCCCACUCAUAUGCAUCUUGAUCUCUUAUGGCCGCAUCGGGGCCACAAUCCUCAGGGUUCCAUCUACCAAGGGCAUCUGCAAAGCCUUGUCCACAUGUGGCUCCCACCUGUCUGUGGUUUCUCUCUAUUAUGGAACAAUCAUUGGGCUAUAUUUUUUCCCCUCAUCUAGUACCUCCAGUGACAAGAACAUAAUUUCCUCUGUGAUGUACACAGUGGUCACCCCAUUGCUGAACCCCUUCAUUUACAGCCUGAGGAACAGGGAUAUGAAGGGGGCCCUGGAGAAACUCUUCCACAAGGCAGCAGUCUUGUCUCAGUGA